UACGGGGGGGGCAAGCGUUGUUCGGAAUUACUGGGCGUAAAGGGUUUGUAGGUGGCUUGUUAAGUCAGACGUGAAAUCCCUCAGCUUAACUGGGGAACUGCGUGUGAUACUGGAUGGCUUGGAUUUGGGAGAGGGAUGCGGAAUUCCAGGUGUAGCGGUGAAAUGCGUAGAUAUCUGGAGGAACACCGGUGGCGAAGGCGGCAUCCUGGACCAAUAUUGACGCUGAGGAGCGAAAGCUAGGGGAGCAAACGGG
rnacentral:rRNA from 1 species